rnacentral:lncRNA from 1 species
UCAAGUGUUCUCCCAACUGAGAAUUGGUGACGCCAGAUGAUCUCAACUGGUAUGAGGUCUAGUUGUGUGGCUUUACUUUCUUUAGCUUCUCUCUGCUGUUGAAUUUACUUUCCUGAUUAAGUCGUUUCUGUUUCUUCUAAUCCAUUUGCUGCAAAAAGUAUUGAAUAGUUGAAUUCUGCAUAGAUAACUAAACUCUGAACUCGAGAUAGAAAUAAAACGUGAUAUACCCGGAAUACACACUAUAAAAAUGCUCACCUGAAGAAGCAUAGUAGCAUCUGUAAAAGGAUCUAUUCAUGAACCGUCAGUUUUCUUCUGUACAUUGUAGAUAUAUCAGCCAACAAAACAUUGAACUGUCACCAAAACAACUUCCAACAUUCUUCCUGGAAAGACUAAUCCUCUUUCUCCUCUAUGGAGUCAAAACCCCUUUUGUGUCAUUGCCAUUUCCUCUUCAACGGCCAACAAAUGAAUAUAUAAGGAAAAUGUAUACAUGUUGUUGUUACCUCGCGUCUUUGAUGAUCCACGUAGUUGCCAGAUGGAUGGACGCGUGAUUUCAACCCAUAAAGGUUCUUGAUCCAGCCGUUAUACCUGCAAGAAGGCAUCCGGACAGGGUGUCCGGACGCACCCUCCGAUGAUCUUGUUAGCCAUGGUUAGAGAGAGAUAUAUAAAUCAGUUGGCCUUUUACUAGGUAUCAGGAGGUUACCAGGGGAUCCCCCUCUUCUUCGUAUGAAGGCUUAUAUAUACAGCUUCGGGGGUACUGUUCUUCUCAUUAAUGGUGAGGAGAUAUUUUAUGUUGUUAUGAUGAUAAUAGGCGUUAGUAGGAGCAUCAUCACCCUACGAGCGGCUGUCAGAAACCAUGGUAGGUGAUGCGGCUGUCAGAGAUCGUGAGAAGUGACUUGCUGUCAUUUCAUCUUGUCUUCUCACUCUGAAGGUGGCAGGAUGUGGGCCAUGGUUGUUUGCUGUGAUAGCGUGUAAGACUCGCUUUACUUUAAUUGAUGACCCGGACGAUUAUAUCCGGAUGGCACAUGCUGAUUACCCGGAUGUAUUGUGGAGCGGAUGCAUUAUGAAGGUUGUCUGGAUAUCUGUGCUCUGCCAGCGACGUUUGCUCUUCCUUUGGAUAGGAGAAGUUGAAACGUCAUUUGCCUUUCCUUGAGACGGUCCGGGUAGGAAAACUGUAUCAUGCGUAUCCUUAGGGGAAUCCGGAUGAUGAUGGUCCGGCUGAUAACACGUGCCACGUGUCAUUGUGAGAUGCGUGCCACGUGUUUCCCAGAGGGAGGGGUCCCUACACAUGUCAUUUCAUUUUCUGCUUUGCCCUGUCUGCAUGAAGACCCAUGGUGGCCUUCUUGCAUUAGAUAACAAUGUGGCAUCCUUGGUUUGUCCCAUUUGAUCUUAAAGUCACAGUACGUUCAGAAAACAUUUUUAGCAUUGAAAACUCUUUCAAGAAACAUUUGUCUUAAAAACGUUUAGAGACAACACUUCAAUGAAAAACAUUAUCAAAUGCACUCUAAUCAAAAUAAAAAUGCAUUUGAUAAUAUUUCUACCCGAAACACUUUGAAAGUAUUUUCUAACUAAUUUUUCAACUUUUGAAAAGUACUUCUCAAAUUUACGAACUAUUGAUUUUUCCUCAAAAACAAUUUUUAUGGUGAAAAUAGUUUUUAAAAGCACUCUGAGCCAAGUCGAUUCUUAUUCAGUUAGAGGAAGGCGUCAACCAUUUUUUUAUUUUGGUUCACUUAGAAGGAAAGAAAAUUAUAACUGAGGUUUUCGCCUCCAUGUUCUUUAGCAAUAAGCAGACAAUUUAUACUCCACUCUGUGUCAGCAUAUUUAAUCUGCAGUAGUUUCAAUUGAUCAGAAAUAAGCUCUGAAUUUAGUUUUGGAAGUGGAAAUUCAUGUUUAAAGAUUAGGUAUUUGCUUUUAGGUUAGAUACGUCUUCAAAAAAGAAUGCCGAAGAUUCAAGCCACAAGAGACAAAAGGAUGAAACGCCUAGAUUCUGUUUUGUUAGAGAGAAAGAUAUCAAAAAAGACAACCCUUUAUUUAGACGCUGUAACAACUGCUUGUUGGCUAUCUACUUCUUUAGGGAAUGUGAAGAAACGGAAAAUAAAUCAACACCUAUAACCAGCUCAUCUUGCAUUAUUAUUUCUUUGAACAACUUAUAUAGAAUAUUUUGUAGGUGGAACAGUGGAAAUGGAUAAGAACAAGGGGUAGUCAGUCAAUAAUGGAGAGUUUUUUUAUUCAUAAACCCUUUCAGACUUGCAAGCAAACCAAAGCAAUCCUUAUCUAGAAGAAAAUUUUAUUUAAAUUAAAGAAAAUUUUAUUCAAUGGGUACAUUUUUAAAAUAGGUAAAUGUUAUAUGUUUUAAUAUAUAUAAAUAAUAAUAAAAAUGUGUUUGAGGUGAAUGUAUUUUUUUUUUAUUUAAAAAUAAUACUAUGAAAAAUAAUAGGAAGAACUUACAUGUUUACGAUAUCCUUUAAGUCCUUACAUGGUUUGUGAUGAUGCAUAGGGUCAAGAUAGUGGACUAUCAUUUUCCUUGGCUCAAGCACUACCUAAAUAUAAACCCUUUUUGUCCUCAUAUCUAUUUCUAUUAACAAAAUAUAAAAACUUUCCAAAACUCAACUACUUAAAUAUAAAAACAAAAUCAAAUAAAAUAUCUAGCUAAUUGGAUUUUAGAAACUAAAUAAACUAUAAAUAAACUAAAUAAAAUAUAUAUGCCCAUGAAUUAAUUGAAGAGGAUAGAAAGACAUAGAGAGAACAUGGCUAUGGUUAUGAUUUCCAUCUUAUCAUUUCCUGUCAAUACCACACAUGCCCAUUUUAAGGUUGGACACUACUUUUGUUGCUAGACUUGGAAAGGGAACUUCAAAAUUGAAAACAUAAAUAAACCCUUAUGUAAAAAAAAAUAACAUUAAAAUAUAAUUGAGCAUUAAAAUAUUUACUCUCUUUCAUCACUUUCAUUUGAAUAUUAAUAAUCUCUUAUUGAGAUAGAUACUUACAAUUUAACAAAAUAGAAAUUCCUAAUAAUAAAAAAUAUAAAAUUUCGAUUUCUAUUAACAAAAUAUAAAAACUUUCCAAAACUCAACUUCUUAAAUAUAAAAAUAAAAUCAAAUAAAAUAUUUAGCUAAUUGGAUUUUAGAAACUAAAUAAACUAAAUAUAAAAACUAAAUAAAAUAUCUAUGCCCAUGAAUUAAUUGAAGAUGAUAGAAAGACAUAAAGAGAACAUGGUCAUGGUUAUGAUUUCCAUCUUAUCAUCUCCCGUCAAUACCACACAUGCCCAUUUUAAGGUUGGACACUACUUUUGUUGCUGGACUUGGAAAGGGAACUUCAAAAUUGAAAACAUAAAUAAACCCUUAUGUAAAAAAAAAAUAACAUUAAAAUAUAAUUGAGCAUUAAAAUAUUUACUCUCUUUCAUCACUUUCAUUUGAAUAUUAAUAAUCUCUUAUUGAGAUAGAUACUUACAAUUUAACAAAAUAGAAAUUCCUAAUAAUAAAAAAUAUAAAAAUUUCUAUUUCUAUUAACAAAAUAUAAAAACUUUCCAAAACUCAAAUACUUAAAUAUAAAAACAAAAUCAAAUAAAAUAUCUAACUAAUUGGAUUUUAGAAACUAAAUAAACUAUAAAUAAACUAAAUAAAAUAUCUAUGCUCAUGAAUUAAUUAAAGAGGAUAGAAAGACACAGAGAGAACAUGGUUAUGGUUAUGAUUUUCAUCUUAUCAUCUCCCGUCAAUACCACACAUGCCUUCCCGGAUUGGUCCUUUUGGGGUUGGAUACUCUCAACGAAAUUCUAUAUCUCAUUCCCACUUAGAUUCAAACAGAAAAAUCAUUCUUUUUUUUUUCCUCUCUUGUUUUUUAGAAAGGAUGAAGAUUAUGUGAUAGUAUAUCUUAAAAAAAUUUUGUACCUGUCAUUCUCACACAAAUACAUAUUAAAAAUCAUUCAUUUUUUCCUGUUUUUCACUUUUUUUUAAGGACUUGAUCAUGUGUUUGGUUUAGAUUAAAAAAAUCAAUUAAUCUAUAGUUUUUUCUUCCAUGCUGGAAGAUUAAACCUAAAUUUUUCUUCCCUACAACUCAAGAAAACACAAUUCACAAAAACCAUAAUACAAAGAUGUUGAAACAAUUAAUAUAAUGACAUUAAUAAAAGAAAAAAAAAAUGAUAGAUCCAAGAGAUUUUGGGUUACCUGAGAGUCCACAAAGUGAAGAAUGUCAGUUUUGAGCGUGUUGACUAUGAAUGGGUGAGAGAAAAGGUCGAAGAAGAUCAUGAUUUUAUAUAUAGGAUUUAUAUAUUGAGAUAUUUUGGAUUGUGGGUGAGAUAUGGAAACAAUGGGAUUUUUAUAUAGUAUCCAUCAUUAUUAAUUCUAAAAGUGGGCUCAUUAAGUUAUAAUACUUAAAAAAAUUUAUUUUAUAUGAUGUCACUUCCCAAAAAAUGACACUAUAAAUAUAAAAUUAAUAUCAUCUAACUACCUCAAUUGAAGAUUUUUUAUAUGAUGUGUCACCUUUAUUAAUUAUAAACCCUAUGGUGUCAUUAUUUUAAAAGUGACACCGUAAAUAGUGACACCAUAAACUAUUCUUGUAGUAGUGAUGUUAUUUCAGUUCUUUCAACUUAAAAAGCAAAAAUUGCUUCUUAAAAUGGGAGACACUAGCAGUCAUUCUUCCCUUGUGCUCCAUUGUCUUACCAAACUGAGAGUGUUUGGUUGUCGAGAAAAUCUCAUUUUCUUCCUAUUUUCCAAGCUAUUUUCAAUGGAUUUUCUUGAGAAAAAAUGGAUUGAUUCAUUCAUCAUUCAUCUCUCAAUUUCUGAUCUAUUUGAGUUUGGGUGAAAAAUCAUUUUCUUUUUAAUUAAACUUUAAGAAGAGAUCGAGAUUAAGCUUGAUUUGGAUGACAAGCAUGUUCUAGAAGAUGAAGGUAUGCAAUUGAAGUAAAAAGGUGUUAGUCAAGUAAUCCGUGAAGGAUUAAAAGACUUGAAUUAGAUAAAUCCUUGUAUACAUGAUUUGUUUUUCAUAGUAAAAUUUUUUAUCUAUUAUAAGUUCAUAAUUUUUUAUCUCUUCGAAAGCUUUUCACAUAAAUUCUGGCAUCAUCGUCUCUUUUUCUCUUAUUCUACUCCUUGAUUUAUUUUCACUUUUAGUUUACAUUUAUUACUUGAACAUAUAAGUUGAAUGGAAGAACAAUGAGUUAAAAUAGGUGUGAUCUUCUUUUGGAUAUCUUGAACAUAUUUUUUUUCUAUUUAUUUUGAUAUAGAUAUUCAAUAGAAAAUGAAAAUUGUGUUAGUGAAAAAUUGUUCUUAUUUUCGUACUUGUAUGUCUCUUUUACUCUUUGUUGGAAAGUAUUUAAAUAAAAAAAAUUAUGAAAAAAUCUAAAAUUAGAUAAUAAAUACUGGGAUCCUUUUGAAUUUGUUUAAAACCAAUGCUAUCAAUAAAAUUUUGUCACAUAUAAAAAAAUAAAAAAUAAAAAUCGCUCAUGCAUGCAAAAAAUAUUACUUGACAAUUAUUCUUGAGCUCGAUCUAUUCCUACCAUUUCUUUUUUUUCUCCUUUUUUCUUUUUUUUGAUAAAUUACUUUUUCCAGAAAAAUUGAGGUUGUCAACCAUUAAAGAAAUGUCAAAUAAAAUAUAUAUGUCUCCAUUGGAAGGACAUGCAGGAGAUAGGAUUUUCGCUUCCAAGUUCUCCAAUACAAAGCAGGCACGUUGCUAAGUUGUAGAUCAAUGCAUUGCCACUUUACACGCAAUGGAUCAUCAAAUCAAAAUACUUCUUUAUUCAAAAGAAAAAGUUAAAAGUGGGCUUACCUUCCACAUCUAUUAUUCUUCUUUUGCUGAUAAUAAUCAGCACAAAAAUGUUCAACUUGGACCUUUCUUUAUUCAAAAGAAAAAGAUGAAGGAAAAAAGAGAGUUGUGUCAUUGCUUUGGUGUGAGAGUUGGUGAUAAAACAUUGACAAGUCUUUUAGAUGACUUGGGUUUCUAGUCUUAGUCUCCGCCUUGUUUAUGAUGGUAGAGCCUUUACAAAGGAGCAGAAAAAAUAUUUCAAUUUCCUAUGUCUUAUAAAAUUCUAUAUAUACUACAUAAAUGAAGUCGAUUCUGACCAUUAAUUAACCACAUGAUAAAAAUAUAUUACAAAAAUAUACAAAAUAAAUUAUAAGAGAAUUAUAAAAAAAAAACUAUUUUAUUAAACUGAUUAAAAAAUUGAUUAUUUAAAUAAUUACAACAUAUUUUCAAAAAAAUUUAAAAGAGUUAAUUUACAUUAAAAAAAUAAAAUAAAAUUCAAAUAAAUGAUUUUAACUCAUUUAUUUAUAAAAAUAAUUACUGUUUCAACUUAUUUACAACAAAUGAUUUAAUUAAUUUUUAUUUACAUUUAAUUUUAUUUAAAAAAUGACUUUUAUGUAUUUUUAUUAAAAGAAAUGAUUGAAUAUGACUUUAUUUACAAAUAAAUGUUUCACUUUGAUUUUAUUUACAAAAAAAAUGGUUUUUAUUUCCUUUUGUUAAAAAAGAAUGAUUUUUAUAAGUUUAUUUAUAAAAGUGUUCCAACCAAAAUUUACUUGUAAGAAAAUAAUUUUUACAUAAUUAUUUAAAAUGAAAAUUAAAAGAAAAAUAAUGUAAAUAAUAAAAUAGUAUUACAAAGAUAUUUUUACUUUAAAUGUGAUAGAAUUUACAAAAUAAAUAAAUCUUUUAUUUAAUAAUAAUAUAAAAAAAUUUAUAUCAUAAACCUCUAAAUAAUAAAAUAUAAUUUUUAAAUUUAAACCUUAAUUUAUCAAAUGUAUUAUUAUAAUUGUUAGAAAAAUUAGGCUAGUCCAACCUAUGGUAAUCACCCUAGAAGGGGGGGUGAAUAAGGUGAUGAUCUCUUUUUGCAAAUUUAAACUAUAUGAAUGUAAGAGACAAUUAUAUGCAAGUAUAUAAUAAGCAAUAUAAAUACAAUUGCUUAUAAAUUAAAAGAGUAUGGAAGAGAGAAUGCAAACAUAAGAUUUUAUAGUGGUUCGGCGCAACCCGACCUACAUCCACUCUCCUCUAACUUCAAUCCCAAGCUUGAGGUUCCACUAAUUCAAGACUUUCAAACCAAACAUUCAAGCAAUACAAUUGGAUUAUGGUUCCAAUUCACCCUAUUAGACUUUUGGCUCCAAACAUCCUUUACACUUCCCAAGAGAUAUCUCACUCUUGAACAAUCCCUCAAGUGAUACCCCACACUUGAGAAACUUCCUCUCAAAGAUUUACAAAUAAAUGAUCUCACAAAAUCUUAGUAUAAAAACUUUAAGCUCAAAUGAUAUAAGAAAACUAGGAUUGAAUGGUGCACUAAAUAUAUGCAAGUUUUGAAACAAUGGUACACUCAAAAACACUCUUUCAAGGCUCAAAUAUAUUCAAGAAAGGUUUGAGAAGGUUAAGCUUUCAAAACAAUGAAGAUUGAAGCAUUUUUAUAGAAGAGAAAAGUCAAACUAGCUGUUUGGGAGUUCGACCGGUCGAGUUAGGGGUCGACCGGUUGACUAGCCGUUAGCAUUUAAUGCUUGGCAGGUGACCGUUGGGCCUCAACCGGACCUCGACCGGGAAGAGAAUCACCUCAACCGGGAAGAGAAUCACCUCAACCAGGAAGAGAAGGUCACUGGGAGAGAGAUAAACUUUUUGGCAUCCCUUAAUCGGUCUUUGACUAGACGAGCACAACUGGUUGAACUGGUUGAGCCAUUUUUUGGCUCAACAACCAACUUUUCAACUUAAAACCUUUUAAAACAAGUUUGAAAGACAUUUAACACAAGGUUUUAGUUGAAAAACAUGAAAUCAUCCAAUUCUUAAAAUAUUUAAAACAAGAUAACUCUUGAAUGAUUUUGAUGCAUAAGUAAAUAAUGUAAUAUAUGAAAAUCCUAGUGCACCAACAACCUUACAAAGAGAUCUUAUGAAGCUUAGGUCUUGAAAAACACUUCUCUUUGAGGUGGUCUUCUUCUUCAUGAUUUCUCAUUAGUUUGAUUUGUCUUUGUAAUUGUCACUUUGGAAAUCGUCUUGCCUAAUCACACUUAAAAUAUAAUCAUUAGUUCUAAACCUUAUUUUGUUAUCAUCAAAAUCAAGAUUAAUCAAACCUUGGUUUCACAAUAAUUAAUAUUUAAAAUCAUCAAUCAUAUUAUUUUUGGAAUAACAUUUUCAUAUUUGUCCAUUACAUAUUUUUGUUUUUAUUUAAUUUGUUAUAUUAACUAUAUAUUAUAUAUUAUCAUUUUAAGUUUAAUAAGUAAAAAAAAUAAUUAAAAUCAAUAAAUAUGGAGAAAUUAGAGAGUAAUAAAAAAUUAAAAUUAAAGAAGUUUUAUGAGAAAAUAUAUCAGCAUAUUAAAAAGAAUAUAAAGGAAAAAAAAAAUAGUAAGAAAAAUUAUAAUAGGUGACAAUAGAUUAUGGUGGAAGAAGGAGAGGAAAUGAAAAAAAGUUUUAAAAAAUAAGUGGUAAGUGAGAUAUAUUGAUGUGAAAAAAAUAAUAAAAAUAAAUGACACAUAUAUUUUUCAACAGGUAGUAUUAAAUUAAUGUGUACUUUGUCUUUUACUUUUAAGGGUAACUGUGAAAUGAAUUUGAAAAUACUAUUGAAGUGCACAAAUAAACAAUAUUUUUUCUCAUUUUAUACUAAAAUUGAAAAGUAAAAAGCAAAUUUCCAAAAUCUUAUAUUUUUUUUAGUUGAUAUAUGGUUACAUGAUUUUCCUAGUUUAUUUGGUUGUUCAGGCCCUUUUGUUCUAUCUAUUUGUGUGUUUUUCAAUGCGUGAUAUUUAUACUGUACGGAGAUUUUGAAUUGUAAGUGCACAUAGCCACAUUGCAUUCGUGUUUCUGUUUCUCUUAAUGUUGCCGAAGCACUGAAGCUUGCCUUAAUGAAAAUUAACAGCAUAUAUGGAGUAAUUAUAGCAUGCUCCUGGCACAGGGUCCUCCAAAGUUUGCAUGGCCCAACAACAAAGGAUUUUCAAUAGCUAUAUGGGCUUGUUUUGGUGAAGGAGCAGCAAAGGUGUAUAGUUUUCAACCCCAAGUCAACAAGUCUUUCUUUUCAUAUUAUUUUUAAUCUGCAUGAUUGCCCUCACUUUACUUUCAUCCUCAGAUGCUGAUAAACUUUGCUAUCCCGCUGUGAACAGCUGCAAUUCUCAAUGGUUUCCAUGGAGAAGCUUCACCGCCAAGACGUUCUUUUCACUCUCCUCCUCCUCAUCUACUCCUCAUCUAAUCUGCUCCUCGCUUCAGGCUACACUCUUCCAAAUAAGUACUUCAUCAACUGUGGUUCCAGCUCUAACGCCACAGUCGACCGCCGGAACUUUGUCGGAGAUGUGAACUCCAGCUCAUCCUAUUUCUCCGUGAGACCAAGCGAUGAUUUGAAGGAUGGCAACCCAGAAACCGGUACAUCUCCUCUCUACCGAACAGCUAGAAUUUUCAGAAAAGAAUCUUCGUAUGAGUUCCGAAUCACUGAAAAUGGCACCUACCUGGUACGUUUUCAUUUCUACCCUUUCUUGACGCCAACAAAUCUUACUGCUGCUCUCUUCAAUGUUCGGGUCACUGGGUAUUCAUUGCUGUCCAAUUUCAGAGUCCAGAACAGAAGUAACUCUCCUGUAAUUAAGGAAUUUGCAAUUCCCAUAGAGGUGGGAAACUUCACAAUCUACUUCACCCCUCAAAAAUCAUCUUUGGCUUUUGUAAACGCGGUAGAAGCGUUUCUUGCCCCUGAAAAGUUCGUUUCAAAUGAAUCGAGUCACAUUACUCCUGCGGGAAGUGACGGUAAUUACAGAGGUCUGGAAUCUCAGGCUUUACAAAUAAUCCUUAGGAUAAACGUUGGAGGCCUGAAAAUCCCACCAAAUAAUGAUACACUGUGGAGAAGUUGGACACCCGACGAUGAUUAUCUACUUCUCCCAGGUUCUGCCAAAAAUAGUGAGGCCUUCAAUAAUACGCCCAAGUACAAUCCUUCGGAAGCUACUAACUAUUCCGCCCCGGUUGAUGUCUACAAGACUGCCAAAGAACUUAAUUCAAGUUUCUUCAAUGUAACCUGGGGUUUUAGGGUGAAUAAGAAUUCUACCUACUUCGUGAGGGUGCAUUUCUGUGACAUAAUUAGCCAAGAUGAAGACGGUAUUGUGUUCAAUUUCUCCAUUUAUAGUCGGUUCAUUGAACUUAUAUAUUCAUAUGGCCCCACCUCCAAUAUCGGAACUCCAUUUUACAAGGAUUAUGUGGUUGAUUCCGAUGAUUCAAGUCUUAUGAAUAUCAGUAUAGGCCCUCGAUCUGAGUCACCAAACAAGACUGCCUUUCUGAAUGGGCUCGAGAUUAUGGAGCUUAUAACCAAGGAAUCUGGUUCAUUGCCUGCGCCAAGCAAGCCAAAGAAAACAGUUGUCUUUGUCAUGGCAGGUUGUGUUGUUGGAGUGGCUUUUCUCCUUAUCCUGCUGGGGGUGAUCUUGAAAUGCAGGAAAGCAAACUCUGUUGAAAGUGGAGAGUGGUCUAUGCUUCUUUAUGGAGGGAGAUACUUCAGUUGGAUAACUGGAACUGGAAGAGCUGUCGAAACCUCCUCUGUUUCCAGCUUAAACCUGGGGUUAAAAAUACCCUUUUCUGAAAUCCUGCAUGCAACUCAUCGCUUUGACAAAAAAUCAAUGAUUGGUAAGGGUGGGUUCGGGAAAGUUUAUAGAGGAACACUUCGGGAUGGGAAGAAAGUGGCUGUCAAACGAAGUCAACCAGGGCGAGGCCAGGGCUUGUACGAAUUUCAAACUGAAAUCAUAGUCUUAAACAAAAUUCGCCACCGCCACCUUGUUUCCUUGAUUGGAUAUUGUGAUGAGAUGCAUGAGAUGAUACUGGUUUAUGAAUUCAUGGAAAACGGGACUCUAAGAGACCGUCUAUACAAUUGGAAUAAGGAUUGCACCAUAUCAACUCCCCGUUCACAACUGUCUUGGGAGCAAAGGCUUGAGAUUUGCAUUGGUUCGGCAUGGGGUCUUGAUUAUCUUCACAGUGAUUCCGGGAUCAUUCACCGUGAUGUUAAGUCUACAAAUAUCUUGCUUGAUGAGAAUUAUGUGGCUAAAGUUGCUGAUUUCGGUCUUUCAAAAUCCAGCGGUACAGAUCAAACUCAUGUCAGUACGGAUGUGAAAGGCAGUCCUGGUUACCUUGAUCCUGAAUAUUUCAGAUGCAUGCAGUUAACAGAUAAAUCGGAUGUAUACUCCUUCGGAGUAGUUCUCCUGGAAGUGCUUUGCGCUAGGCCAGCUAUUAAAAGCUCAGUUCCCAGUGAGGAAACGAAUUUGGCUGAAUGGGCGAUGUCAUGGCAAAAGAAAGGAGAGCUUGAAAAAAUUGUGGAUCCUUUUCUCGUGGGUAAAAUCAAUCCUAACUCAUUGCGUAAGUUUGGUGAAACGGCAGAGAAGUGUUUGAAAGACUCUGGUACCGAAAGGCCUACCAUGCGCGAUGUCUUAUGGGACUUGAAAUAUGCACUUGUUCUGCAACAAGCUACAACGCUGGAAGAAGGAUAUGCGGACAGCACAACAGAUGCUUUUUCGGAGAUGCCACUGCUUGGUGUUCAGUCCUUGCCUUCUUCUAGCUUUCCUCUAAUGGAGAAAGAUGAUGUAGCCAGGGAAAAUGAUGAUGGUUCAGACCCAACUCCUAGUGACGUGUUUUCCCAAUUGAGGAUUAUUGGUGCCAGAUAAUGUCAACUGGUGCGAGGUCUGGUUGUGUGCCUUCACCUUCCUGAUCGAGUGCUUUUGUUGCUUUUGAAAUAUGUGGGACUUGAAAUAUAUAUGUACUUGAUCUGCAGCGUGCUACAAUGCCGAGAGAAGGAUAUGCGGACAGCAUAACAGAUGCUUCUUUCGAGUACUUGCCACUGUUUGGUGUUCUGUACUUGGCUUCUCCCAGUCCUAGCUUUCUUCUAAUUGAGGAAGAGGAAGCCUCCAUAGAAGGUGAUAAUGGUUCAGAACCAACUGCUAAGUGAAGUAUCCUCCCAAUUGAGGGUUGGUGGUGACAGAUAAUCUUAUUAACUCGUCUGAUAUCUACUUGUGUGGCCUCACUUCUUUGGCUUCUAUCUAAUACUAAAUUUAUGGUCCUGAUUCAUUGUUCCCAUCAGCCUCACUUCUAGCACCGCAUUCGUCAUCAGAUGAUUGCAAAAUUAGGAGAUUUGCUGCACCAUGUGGCACAAUAUUACUAAUCAAUGCAUGGGCUAUAUCUUUUCAGUCCAAGAAGUAUAAAACUGCGGGGAGUGAGACAUACAAGCUUGUGCCUUUUGGAGUGGAAAGAAGGGCAUGCCCUGGGGCUGGCCUAGCCAAACAAGUGAUGGGUUUGGCUCUGGAAUCAAUGAUUCAGAGUUUUGAAGAGAAUAGACGAGCACGAAAUUGCCAUGGUCGAGGGACAAGGGCUCACAAUGCCCAAGGUGGAACCUCUGGAAUUUAUAUUAAAGGGACAUUACUGUUCUAUCCGAGGCUUUGAACGGUAUCUGAGCAACUUUGGUGGCUAUUGUACAAAUAUUUUUUGUUACCAUAAAUGCACAUAUGUAUACAUUGUUUUAUUGUUUCUGUUCUCUUGGUAUUGAUGAAGCAGGGAAGGUUGCCUUGAUCAUUCAUGGAACUUUCAAAAUUCUUCAUAUAAUGAAGUAAUUCUAACAUAUUCUUGGUAUGGUGUGCCCGGAAAACAGAGUACUGCCUUCUGCUAUAUUGGUUUGUUUUGGGGAGGGGGCAGCAGAGGCAUUGAGAUUCUUCAGAUGUUCAUUAAGGAGAUGAGCAACCAGAUGCCAAGUAUUUGAACCAAAUUUAGCCGUGAUUUGCAUGGGCGAGGAGCAGGGAGUUUGAUGAGAUGUGGAUAACGAGGGGGGAUUAAUAAUAUCAAGUACCUGUAUUUUCAUAUGUAUACAAGCCAACUGCAAGUCAAAGUCUUGCUUUUAUGUUUGUAUUCAUUUGACUUUUCAAAAACAGGAAAUCUACAUGAUUGCCUCUCAAUUUAUUUUCAUCCUUGGAUGCUGAUAAACUUUGCUUCUGCUGGGAAGAGUCGGCAGUGGUUACUGAUGUCCAUGGAUAAGCUUCACCACCACAAAGUUAUUUUGACUCUCCUCCUCCUCAUCCACUCAUCAGAUUACGCUCUUACAGACAUGUAUCUCAUCAACUGUGGUUCAAUCUCUGAUACUGCAAUCAGCAAUCAGCACUUCGUGGGAGAUGUGGACUCCGGCUCAUCCGACUUUUUGGUAGGAGAAAGCAGUCGGGUCGUUGAUGACAACCCAGCACCAGGGACACCUUUUCUCUAUAGAACAGCUAGAAUUUUCAGAAAACAAUCUUCGUACAGGUUCCAAAUCACCCAAAAUGGCACCUACGUGGUACGCUUUCACUUCUACCCUUUCUCGACUCCAACAAAUCUUGCCGACGCUCUCUUCAAUGUUUCCGCUAAUGGGUUUUCAUUGCUGUCCAAUUUCAGUGUCCAGAACACUAGUAACCCUCCUGUAAUUAAGGAAUUCGCAAUCCCCAUAGAGGUGGGAGAAUUCAUGAUCUACUUCACACCUCAAAAAUCAUUUUUUGCUUUUGUAAACGCCAUAGAAGCCUUUAUUGCUCCGGAACGUUUCAUUUCAGAUGGAGUUAAUCACGUUACUCCCGUAGGGCUUAAAGGCACUUACAAUGGUUUGUUAUCUCGGGCUUUUCAUAUAAUCCAUAGGAUUAACGUUGGAGGCUUCACAAUCACACCAAGUAAUGAUCUACUGUGGAGAAGUUGGACACCAGAUGAUGACUAUCUAUUUCUCCCAAAUUCUGCAAAUAACAUUGAGUUCUACGGUGAGCUUAAUUCCACGGCAGCUGCUGCAAAGUUGGCCCCAGAUAAUGUCUACAAGACUGCCAAAGAAUUGAACAUAAAUCAUAGCAGGUCAUCAAAUUUUUUCAAUAUGACCUGGGGUUUCGAUGUGAAUAAGAAUUCUACCUACUUCGUGAGGGUGCAUUUCUGUGACAUAAUUAGCCAAGAUGUUGAUGGUAUUGUGUUCAAUUUAUCCAUCUAUAAUCAGUUCAUUGAUAAGAUCUAUCCAUAUAACAUUACUCAUCCAGCAACUCCCUUUCACCGUGAUUAUGUGGUUGAUUCUGAUGAUUCUGGAUAUGUGAAUAUCAGUGUAGGCCCUCGUAGCAAAUCACUGAACCAAACUGCUUUUCUGAAUGGACUUGAGAUCAUGGAGAAGAUCGAGCGAUCUGGUGCAUACCCUGUGCCUAGCAAUCCGAAUAAGACUCUUGAGUCUCCGCCCAGCAAUCCGAAUAAGACCCUUAAGCCUGCGCCAAGCAAGCCAAAGAAGAACUUCAUGUUUGCAAUAGCUGGUUCUGUUGUUGGAGUGGCUUUUGUCCUUAUGUUGAUCGGAGUGUUCAUGAAAUGCAGGAAAGCAAGCCCUGCUGAGACCCGGGGUUGGUCUGUGCUUCUCUAUGGAGGGAGAUCUUUUUGGAAGACAAAUGAUAGAACUGCCAACAACUCCUCUGUUUCUAGUUUAAACCUCGGCUUAAAACUACCCUUUUCUGAAAUACUGCAUGCCACUAAUAACUUCAACCCAAAAGUGAUCGCCGGGGAGGGUGGGUUCGGGAAAGUUUAUAGAGGAACUCUUCGAGAUGGUAAGAAAGUGGCUGUCAAACGAAGUCAACCAGGGCAACGCCAGGGCUUUGCUGAAUUUCAAGCUGAAAUCAAGGUCUUAUCCAAAAUUCGCCACCGCCAUCUGGUUUCCUUGAUUGGAUACUGUGAUGAGAGGCAUGAGAUGAUACUGGUUUAUGAAUUCAUGGAAAACGGGACUCUCAGAGACCAUCUAUACAAUUGGAAUGAGGACUGCACCAUAUCGACUCCCCGAUCACAACUGUCUUGGGAGCAAAGGCUUGAGAUUUGCAUUGGUUCAGCAUGCGGUAUUGAUUACCUUCACACUGGUUCUGAUGGGGGAAUCAUUCACCGGGAUGUUAAAUCAACAAACAUUUUGCUUGAUGAGAAUUAUGUGGCCAAGGUUUCUGAUUUUGGUCUUUCAAAAUCAGGCACUUCGGAUAAAUCCCAUAUCAGUACAAAUGUAAAAGGCAGUUUUGGUUACCUUGAUCCAGAAUAUUUCAGAUGCUUGCAUUUAACGGAUAAAUCAGAUGUAUACUCUUUUGGAGUGGUUCUUCUGGAAGUGCUUUGUGCUAGGCCGGCUAUUAAAAGAUCAGCUCCCAGUGGGGAAAUGAAUUUAGCUGAAUGGGCCAUGUCAUGGCAAAAGAAAGGACAGCUCGAAAAUAUUGUUGAUCCUUUUCUCCUGGGUAAAGUUAAUCCUAACUCAUUGCGGAAAUUCGGAGAAAUGGCAGAGAAGUGUUUGAAAGACUCGGGUGCUGAUAGGCCUAAUAUGUGCAAUGUCCUAUGGGACUUGAAAUAUGCUCUUCAGCUCCAACGAGUUACAAGGCAGAGAGAAGGAUAUGGGGACAGCAUAAUAGAUGCUUCAUUGGAGUUCCCACUGCCUAUUGUUCAGUACUCACCUUCUCCCAGCUUUCUGAUUAAGGAACAUGAUAUCCCCACGGAAAGUGGUGAUGGUUCAGCGCCAACUGCUAGUCAAGUGUUCUCCCAACUGAGAAUUGGUGACGCCAGAUGAUCUCAACUGGUAUGAGGUCUAGUUGUGUGGCUUUACUUUCUUUAGCUUCUCUCUGCUGUUGAAUUUACUUUCCUGAUUAAGUCGUUUCUGUUUCUUCUAAUCCAUUUGCUGCAAAAAGUAUUGAAUAGUUGAAUUCUGCAUAGAUAACUAAACUCUGAACUCGAGAUAGAAAUAAAACGUGAUAUACCCGAAAUACACACUAUAAAAAUGCUCACCUGAAGAAGCAUAGUAGCAUCUGUAAAA